rnacentral:rRNA from 1 species
GACGAACGCUGGCGGCGUGCUUAACACAUGCAAGUCGAACGGAAAGGCCCUGCUUUUGUGGGGUGCUCGAGUGGCGAACGGGUGAGUAACACGUGAGUAACCUGCCCUUGACUUUGGGAUAACUUCAGGAAACUGGGGCUAAUACCGGAUAGGAGCUCCUGCUGCAUGGUGGGGGUUGGAAAGUUUCGGCGGUUGGGGAUGGAUUCGCGGCUUAUCAGCUUGUUGGUGGGGUAGUGGCUUGCCAAGGCUUUGACGGGUAGCCGGCCUGAGAGGGUGACCGGCCACAUUGGGACUGAGAUACGGCCCAGAGUCCUACGGGAGGCAGCAGUGGGGAAUAUUGCACAAUGGGCGGAAGCCUGAUGCAGCAACGCCGCGUGCGGAAUGACGGCCUUCGGGUUGUAAACCGCUUUCGCCUGUGACGAAGCGUGAGUGACGGUAAUGGGUAAAGAAGCACCGGCUAACUACGUG